AACGAACGCUGGCGGUGUGCUUAACACAUGCAAGUCGAACGAGAAAGUUUCCUUCGGGAAGCGAGUAAAGUGGCGCAAGGGUGAGUAACACGUGAAUAAUCUACCCCCGAGACUGGGAUAACCUGGUGAAAACUAGGCUAAUACCGGAUAAGACCACGUCCCGCAAGGGAUGCGGGAAAAGGAGGCUCAACCUCCACUUGGAGAUGAGUUCGCGGACCAUUAGCUUGUUGGUGAGAUAACAGCUCACCAAGGCUACGAUGGUUAGCCGGCCUGAGAGGGUGAACGGCCACACUGGAACUGAGACACGGCCCAGACUCCUACGGGAGGCUGCAGCAGGGAAUAUUGUGCAAUGAGCGAAAGCUUGACACAGCGACACCGCGUGUGGGAUG
rnacentral:rRNA from 1 species